rnacentral:lncRNA from 1 species
CAAAGCAGCUGUUUUGAAAUCCCUGGUGGUGAAAGCCUGUCUUAACUGCACUCCACACUGGAAGGAGUGUUUGGAACCUCUUCAGCUGCCCUACUGUGACCAGGAAGCAGUGCAAGCAGUACUCCCUCAGUGACUAGGCACAGCUUUGUGGAGGUGACAGUUUUUUCUUCCUGUCCUUGAGGCAAGUAUUUCCGUUUUUUUUUUUUCUUCCUUUUUUUACUCAUUUAUUAAACAAGUCUUUACGGAGCAUGGAUUAUGUUUC